CAGUAUCUCUAUAUAGUUUUCACAGCUUUGUGCAGUCCAAUUCAGACAAAAAGAUGUGGCAGCAGAGAGACAUUCAGAGCCAGCUGGGAUAGACCUGAGAUAGGGAAGCAGAGAGGAGGAAGAAACUGUGUGGCUGGAGGAGGAAAAAUGACCCAAGGGCAGUGUGGAAAAGAGAGCCCCCGUUGGUCUGGCGUGUGUCUUGGAACAUUCUACUGAUAUGUGGAAACAGACUAGCUUGCAAACUGAUGGGAACACAAGACGGCAGAGCGCCCACGGCAGCAAGGCAAGGUCAGAUAACACAGGAGACCAUGAAACUUCAGAUAGGAGAGGAAUUCCUCUUCUCUACCAAUGAUCUUCAUGUGCAGAUCCUUGACAUUGCUUUCAAUUUCUCUUCUCAUAUAUUCUUAAAGUGCCAUAAUGUGCUGUGUGGAUAAAAUAAAAAGUUGC
rnacentral:lncRNA from 1 species